rnacentral:rRNA from 1 species
CCNGGGCGAAAGCAGAUCCAGCAAUGCUCGCGUGAGUGAAGAAGGCCUUCGGGUUGUAAAGCUCUUUUGUCAGGGAAGAAACGGUGAGGGCUAAUAUCNCUUGCUAAUGACGGUACCUGAAGAAUAAGCACCGGCUAACUACGUGCCAGCAGCCGCGGUAAUACGUAGGGUGCAAGCGUUAAUCGGAAUUACUGGGCGUAAAGCGUGCGCAGGCGGUUUUGUAAGUCUGAUGUGAAAUCCCCGGGCUCAACCUGGGAAUUGCAUUGGAGACUGCAAGGCUAGAAUCUGGCAGAGGGGGGUAGAAUUCCACGUGUAGCAGUGAAAUGCGUAGAUAUGUGGAGGAACACCGAUGGCGAAGGCAGCCCCCUGGGUCAAGAUUGACGCUCAUGCACGAAAGCGUGGGGAGCAAACAGGAUUAGAUACCCUGGUAGUCCACGCCCUAAACGAUGUCUACUAGUUGUCGGGUCUUAAUUGACUUGGUAACGCAGCUAACGCGUGAAGUAGACCGCCUGGGGAGUACGGUCGCAAGAUUAAAACUCAAAGGAAUUGACGG